AUUUUAAUAUCUUCAUUAAAAUUUAUCUUAAUUCAACAUCGAGGUCGCAAUCUUUUUUAUCAAUAUGAACUCUUUAAAAAUAUUACGCUGUUAUCCCUAAGGUAAUUUAAUUUAUAUUCAUUAAUAAUGGAUAAAAAACUCAUAAAUAAUUGUUAAUAAAUUUGAAAAUUUUAUUAAAUUUUCAUAUAACCCCAACAAAAUAAUAUAUUAAUAAUAAUAAAAUUUAUUAAAAAUUUAAUAUUAAUUAAUUAUUAAAUUCUAUAGGGUCUUCUCGUCUUUUAAUUAUAUGUAAAAAUUUUUAUUCACAAUAAAAUUCAAAUAUUUAAAUUGAGACAGAUUUUAUUUCAUUAAUUCUUUCAUUCCAGACUUAAAUAAUAAGACAAAUGAUUAUGCUACCUUUGUACAGUCAAUAUACUGCAGCUAUUUAAAAUUUUUUCAUUGAGCAGAACUGAUUUUAAAUUAUAAUUCAAAAAACCAUGUUUUUGAUAAAC
rnacentral:rRNA from 1 species